GAGACAAGGAAAUGCUGUCACCGCCGUUAACACGCACGUGGAGCCGUUUGAGGGUUGACUGGCUCUAAGGAAAAGCUGUUUGCUGGCAGACACAGGUGGCUGGUGACAAAGGGGAACGGAUAGCUCAAAAUGAGCCUCACCACUCCUGAACAGAACAACGAUCCUGGCUGUGUCCUCUUGAGGGGAAGACCUGGGUUUAAGUCUCCAUCAACGUCAAGAUAUGGGACCUCAUGGAAGGGAAGAGAGGCAAUGCCGAGGAUGUGCACCUGAGCAGGUGCCCCAAUUCUUCACCUGUAAGCAUUCCGGUUUGGCAGAGAGCAGUGGCUCAGCCUGGCAUGUGGCAUACACUCGUAAUCCUGACUACUCAGAGGCUGAGGUGGGAGGAUCGCUUGAGCCCAAGGAGAUUGAGACUGUAAUGACUGCAUCACUACACCCCAUCCUGGACAACAGAGUAAGACCCUAAAACACUCUAAAACAAACAAACAAACAUUCCAGAUGGAUCUAGCCUAAAUAUUCCUGCUAUAAAGCUAGGCUGCUCUUCCUGUUGUUUUCUUGUCAUUAAUAAUGAUCAUCAUUUUUCUCAUUAAU